rnacentral:rRNA from 1 species
UACGUAGGGUGCAAGCGUUAUCCGGAUUUACUGGGUUUAAAGGGAGCGUAGGUGGGUCGGUAAGUCAGUGGUGAAAUCUUCGAGCUUAAACUCGGAAACUGCCAUUGAUACUAUCGAUCUUGAAUUAUCUGGAGGUAAGCGGAAUAUGUCAUGUAGCGGUGAAAAUGCUUAGAUAUACAUAGAACACCCAUGCGAAGGCAGCUUCUACGGAUAAUAUUGACACUGAGGCUCGAAAAGC